CCUACGGGAGGCAGCAGUGGGGAAUAUUGGGCAAUGGGCGCAAGCCUGACCCAGCAACGCCGCGUGAAGGAAGAAGGCUUUCGGGUUGUAAACUUCUUUUGUCAGGGACGAAGCAAGUGACGGUACCUGACGAAUAAGCCAUGGCUAACUACGUGACAGCAGACGCGGUAAUACGUAGGUGGCAAGCGUUAUCCGGAUUUAUUGGGUGUAAAGGGGGUGGAGGCGGGAAUGCAAGGCAGAUGUGAAAACUAUGGGCUCAACCCAUAGCCUGCAUUUGAAACUGUAUUUCUUGAGUGCUGGAGAGGCAAUCGGAAUUCCGGGUGUAGCGGUGAAAUGCGUAGAUAUACGGAGGAACACCAGUGGCGAAGGCGGAUUGCUGGACAGUAACUGACGCUGAGGCGCGAAAGCGUGGGGAGCAAACAGGAUUAGAUACCCUUGUAGUC
rnacentral:rRNA from 1 species